CUGUUUUUUUCUUAACCAACGCUGUGCUACAAUGGCUUUGCCAGUUCACUGGCUAUGGCGAUAAACGCCUUGUGGAAUAGACGCUGCGGACCCGGGGGCGGUACCCGGCGCCUCCACCCUGCGACCCGUGCGGCGGGUCACAAGACGGGGGCGAAACAGGAUCGACGCGCGUGAUAAAGACAUGGUUUUUGCCCGGCAUGAUUCCGCCGUUAUCGGGUCAUUUUGAUAAAUGCCAACGACAAUGUUGACAUGAGCAAUGUUGCUAUCGCUGCCUAAUGUCCGCAUCGCGGAAGUAAGGUAGUUAGCACUUGAUCGCGGCCCGGGGGGCGCCGGGCAACAGAAGCCCCCCAAU
rnacentral:tmRNA from 1 species